rnacentral:ncRNA from 1 species
UCAGACAUUUGGUUCAUGUGCUUGGCUGAUAAGCCAAUGGUGCGAAGCUACCAUCUGAAGGAUUAUGACUGAACGCCUCUAAGUCAGAAUCCCGCCUGAAAGCGACGAUGCAUUCGUGCCUCGGCCUCGUGAGGCGUAGCUAGACGGCCGUGUGGCCGUGGAAAGAGCCCGAUUCCGACCCGAGAGGCCGCGGCAAGAGGCGGCCUCGAAGUCGGUGGAUCCUCCUGCUCGAAAGGCGGGGUGCUAAACCAUUCGCAGACGACCUAGUUGAAGAUCGGGGUGUCGUGAUCACUAGAGCAGUACAUCUCACUGCGAUUUGUUGAGAGUAAGCCUCAAGAUCUGUCGGUUUGU